UCCGAAUUGGUCCAGUGGCAGGAUUUCUCAUUGUCGCUGAGACGGCCGGGGUUCGAUUCCCCGAUUCGGAG